AUUGCUGCUGUAACAACAACUCUG
rnacentral:siRNA from 1 species